AAACGAUUGAAGUCAGUCGUGUUCAUUGGACUCAGCUAGUUCUUCUAGUCUACUUCCUUUGAACGGGUCAACAUCAGUUUUGUCCGGUGGAUAAAGGUAGUUUCAAUGUAGCUUCUUCGGAAGUGUUAUAGGUUUCUAUCACAUACACUGGGGGAGACUGAGGACUGCAGCUCGCCUUUUGGCCGGGGUUCGCCCACGUUCGAGCUUAGGAUGUUGACAUAAUGGCUUUAAACGA
rnacentral:rRNA from 1 species